AAAAAAUAGGGGGUGUAGGGGAUGAAAUCCCCUGCCCGCUUUCAGGAAGGUGCUCAGGCUGCAAAACAGCCGUCGAAGGAAAC
rfam:Alkaliphilus metalliredigens QYMF, complete genome.